rnacentral:tRNA from 1 species
GACGGUUUGGUUGAGUGGCCCAAGGCGCCUGAUUUAGGCUCUGGUCCGAAAGAGCGUGGGUUUCAAAUCCCACAGCUGUCA